AUUUUAUAUUAUUAAUAGGAAAGUCAUAAAUAUAUAAAUUAUAUUAUAUAAUAAUUAGAUAUAAAUAUUUUAAUAAAAAAAGUAUAUUUAAUAUUUUUAUAUAUAUUUUAUUUAACAUUUAUAGUUCCGGCCCCCGGAAGGAGUAAAUAAUUAAUUUUAUUAUUUAAUUUAAUAAUAAUCAUUUUUAUUUUUAUAAAUGUUAUAAAUAAUUAUUAAAAUAGAUUCUAAAUUAUAAUAUAUAAUAUUAAUAAAGUAAUUAGUAUAAAUAAAUAAUCUGAAAAUAAAACUUAAUAAAUAUAUUGUUAUAUAUAUUUUAUAUAUAUAAAUUAUAUAUAUAAAAUAAAUAGUCUAAAUAGUUCAUAAAUAUGUACAUUAGAAUAGUUAUAUUAUUAUACAGAAAUAUGCUUAAUUAUAAUAUAAUAUAA
rnacentral:RNase_P_RNA from 1 species